UACGGGGGGGGGCAAGCGUUGUUCGGAAUUACUGGGCGUAAAGGCUCGUAGGCGGCCAACUAAGUCGGAUGUGAAAUCCCCAGGCUUAACCUGGGAACUGCAUCCGAUACUGGAGGGCUUGAGUAUGGGAGAGGGAAGUGGAAUUUCAGGUGUAGCGGUGAAAUGCGUAGAUAUCUGAAGGAACAUCAGUGGCGAAAGCGACUUCCUGGACCAAUACUGACGCUCAUGUGCGAAAGCGUGGGGGAGCAAACAGG
rnacentral:rRNA from 1 species